AUAACAUUAAUAAUAAUAACAAUAAUAAUAAUAAUAAUAAAAAACAUCUGGACCGUUAGAUCUGGAUGAACAUUCAGAAAAAACAAAGUAACCCUAAAUCAAUAAAUCCCUAAUCCACUCAAACAGGCGCCCCUCUCCCUCUGCCUCUAAAUCUUUUACACUCAUCUCUCCCUCUGCCUCUGAAUCUUUUACACUCAUCUCUCCCGCUGCCUCUGAAUCUCUCUCUCCCACUGCCUCUAAAUCUCUCGUUGUCUCAUACAAAUCUGAACGGCGAUCAGCAAACGGCGCCCCUUCAAUCUUUUUUAUUUUUUUUUUAUUUUUUUAUUUUAUUUGUCAUAUUUAUUCUGUACUCACGGUUAUCUAAGGUAUUUUUUUUAUUCUAAGUUUCGAUUUUUAUUCUAAGUUUUGUUUUUAUUGAAUUUCUGUUUUUUUUUUUUUUUUUUUUUUUGCUAAUGUGUUGUAGGAUUUUUAUCAGAAUUUUAUUUUGUUAGAAACUUAAUUUUGAGUCUGUCUGUUUUAAAAAAUUUUGAGUCUCUUAUUUUUUUGCAAUUUAUUUUCAGUUUGUGAAUGUAAGAUCUGUCAUCUGUAUUUAACUUCUGAUUUUUUUUUUUUUUUUUUUUAAGAUAUGUAACUAACUUGCUCACGUUUUUUCUGUUAAGGUAUUUUUUUUUCAUUUAUCCUAAGUUUGAUAUAUUUCUCUUGCUUUUAAUUCUAAGUUUCGAAAUAUAUUCUAAGUUCCGAUUUUUAUUGAAUUUCUGGUUUAUUUUGGUUUGUUUUUUUGCUAAUGUGUGAAAUCGUAAUAGCAAAUGGAGUGUUGUUUAAGUUCUGAUUUUUUUGCUAAUGUGUGAAAUCGUAAUAGCAAAUCGAAACAUAUUCUAAGUUCCGAUUUUAAAAUGAUUUUUAAUGACUGUAAUUAAGAUUUUAAGUUCUAUUUUUUAUUCUGUUUAUUUCAAUUUAUUCUGUUUUUUUUAAAGUAUUGUUUUUAUGUUAUGCUAUUUGUGUUGCUUUGCCCUAUGUAUUGUAUACUGUUGAUUUGUUUUUUGUAAAUGCUGUUGUAGUCAUGGUCAUGAGUAUGAUGAUUUUGACCUUCAGAGGAGUGAGGGUGAGAGGCCAUCUAAUAUGGAGAGUGUGAGCUCUCAAUCUCCCUCUGGCCCGAUUGAUGAUGCUCAUAAUACCAGCAUUAUCACUACUGAUGGUAAUAAACGUCAAAGAACCUCAGGUAUAUGGAAGCAUUACACAUUUUUUUGAAGACGGUAGGUAAUGAAAAGGUAGAAUAUGCUCGUUGUAAUUUCUGUGGCAAAGAAUAUAAAGCACCUGGUAGAUAAGGUACUUCAACUUGUAGAACUCAUAUUAAUGCAUGCUUGCUAAAUCAUUUAAGUUCUGAUUUUUUUGCUAAUGUGCUAAUGCAUGCCUCACUGUGGCUGUUGUUAUAUAUGUACUUGUUGUUGUUGCCUCACUGUGGUUGUUUUAUUUUAUCUUGAAAAAUCGUUGCCCUUGUCAUUUAUUUUGAGACUUGCUGGUAGCAUUUUUCAAGAUUUAGGUUAAAACACCCACUGCUCGGUGAUGAAAUUGUAAACUUAAAUCUGAGAGCAAUUUUUAAAACAAAAAAUGACGCUUAAUUUUGGAUGAAAUGAUGCUGCAUGAGUUGUUGUAGCAUGCUUCUGGUUACAAUUCAUGUUGAGCUACUUCUGCUUAUUCUAUUGCCUGCUUCUACUAAGCUGCUGAUCUGUUGCUGCCUGAGCUGGUUCCUGCCUCCUGCCAGCUUGAGGCUGCUGCUGUUUCUUCUGCUCUUGGGUGCUGUGUUGCUGCUUCAGUAUUGUUGCUGCCUUUUGUGUUUAUGAUAAGUUUUGUCGUUGCUGUUUCUUAUGCUUGUUGUUUCUUAUGCUUGCUGUUUUAAUUUAUCUUAAAUCAUCGUUGCCCUUGUCAUUUAUGUUGAGACUUCAAUAUAUAUGUACUUGCUGGCAGCAUUUUUCAAGUUUUAAGUUAAAACAACCAUUGCUCAGUGAUGAUACGAUAAAUGUAAAUCUCAGAGCAAUUUUUAAAAACAAAAAUUAGAUUUGAAGUUGGUUGAACUGAUGUUUUGUGAGCUGCUUAUCUGCUUUUGGUUGUUGUUCCUGCUAAACUGCUUCUGCUUAUAUUGUUGCCUGCUUCUGCUGAGUUGCUGAUUUGUUGUUACCUGAGCUGGUUCCUGCUUGCUGCUGCUAUUUCUUCAGCUCUUGGGUAUUGUGCUGCUGCUUCAAGAUUGUUGCUGCCUUUUGUUUUUAGGAUUGUUUUUUUAGGUUAAAUUUUGUUAUUAGGAUAAUUUAUGAUCAUAUGUAAAAUGUAAAUCCUAAACUUAUUUAUUUUUAAUGUAAAAUGUAGAUGAAAUGUGUUUUUUGGAAUAAUUAAAGUUAUUUAUUUUAAAUUUA